rnacentral:lncRNA from 1 species
ACUCUGCCGCGCACACUUCACUACCCUCCGCACCCCCCCAUCCCCACCCCCCUUUUGCUUCCUCUGCCUUUCUAAUUCUCAAUCUGCUUAACCAGGCUUUAGAGGCCAAGCAAAUCUGAGAUCAAUUUUCUCGUUUAGCUCUAAGUGACAUCAUCUAAAAUCAUUGUGCAAGGGCUAAAUAAGGAAACGGAGUCUAAUUCAGGGGCAAACGCCAGGCUAUAUUUAUCAAACGCCAAGCUCCAGAAAGCCUCGGCUAGGAAGCCUCGGCAGUGAAAUCCGAGGGCUCGGGGUUGCCCGCUCCCGGAAUCCCGGAGUCUCCGCGGCCCGAACCGAGUCUGGACCAUUUAGAAGACGCCGGCAGGUAACUGGCCUCCCCAAACGCCCCGAAAAUUAAAAGCCUUAGGAGGCUUGUUCUGUGUUUGUGGUUUUGUAAAGGCAAUGCCCGCGGCAAUAGGCCUGGGAAAGUCGCACUUUCAUCCACAAAGUUGAGGAGUUGCAAGGAAUAAUUGGGUGUCACACCACAAGCAACCUUGACUCGAUCGGACCCCACCCAGGAUACACACAGACGCGCGCGCGCGCACGCUUCCGAGUUUCCAUUGAGAGUCUGGAAAGAGCAUUUCUUUCUUAAGUACCUGCGCUCAGCUAGAGCUCUCCCGGAGCAUUUUAAAUACUGAAUGCCGAGCGGAGAAGGGAAACAGAGUGUAUUAAUCCCCACUCCGGUUGCCGGUGUCUGCAAGCCUCCUCUAAGCAGCGCAGGCGGCAGCCUGGAUGUCUGUGCGCAUCAAGGAGACUUGCCGGCGCCAGAGUUGUG